rnacentral:rRNA from 1 species
AACGAACGCUGGCGGCAGGCUUAACACAUGCAAGUCGAACGGGUGCAGCAAUGCAUCAGUGGCAGACGGGUGAGUAACACGUGGGAACCUUCCUAGGGGUACGGAACAACUCAGGGAAACUUGAGCUAAUACCGUAUACGUCCGUAAGGAGAAAGAUUCAUCGCCCCUAGACGGGCCCGCGUCGGAUUAGGUAGUUGGUGGGGUAACGGCCUACCAAGCCUACGAUCCGUAGCUGAUCUGAGAGGAUGAUCAGCCACACUGGGACUGAGACACGGCCCAGACUCCUACGGGAGGCAGCAGUGGGGAAUCUUGGACAAUGGGCGCAAGCCUGAUCCAGCCAUGCCGCGUGAGUGAAGAAGGCCUUAGGGUUGUAAAGCUCUUUUACCAGGGACGAUAAUGACGGUACCUGGAGAAUAAGCCCCGGCAAACUUCGUGCCAGCCGCCGCUGU